rnacentral:rRNA from 1 species
UACGUAGGGACCAAGCGUUGUUCGGAAUCACUGGGCGUAAAGGGCGCGUAGGUGGCGCGACAAGUCAACGGUGAAAGCUCGGCGCUCAACGCCGAGUCGGCCGUCGAUACUGUUGGGCUGGAGCACUGUAGAGGCUCAUGGAAUUCCGGGUGUAGCGGUGGAAUGCGUAGAGAUCCGGAAGAACACCGGUGGCGAAGGCGGUGAGCUGGGCAGUUGCUGACACUGAUGCGCGACAGCGUGGGGAGCAAACAGG